CGGACGCGCAAGCUCCGGACGCGCAGGCUCAGCAGCCAUGGCUCACGGGCCCAGCCGCUCCGCGGCACGUGGGAUCUUCCCAGACCGGGCACGAACCCGUGUCCCCUGCAUCGGCAGGCGGACUCUCAACCACUGCGCCACCAGGGAAGCCCAUCUCAGCGCCUUUUAAUACGCUCCUGAGUGUGGUCUGGAAGUGAGUGUUCCACGAUCCGUAAGGAUUCCGAGCUACCGGAGACUCCAGUUCUUGUCUUGUUGCUCCACCAUCCCUCGGGCAUGGCCCUUGUCUGAAUGAAUAUUUGACCACACAUGGGUGGAUGGAUAUUCCAGCCAGGAGGACUGAGGGUCCCUGUCCUGACUUCCGGAGCUUACAAUGAAAUGAACUGAGCCAGAGAGGAUGCUACGGCAGAGAGAGACAAUGGCCAGCGUGACAGAAGGGAUUCAUCUAAGAUUCUUUCCCAUUAUAGGUUAUUACAAGAUAUUGAAUAUAGUUCCCUGUGCUAUACAGUGACAUAGAAAGAGAAGAAGGAAAAUUACACAUCAGGAAAGGCCCCGAAUGUAAGACAGCAAACAGACACAGUGAAAUCUAAACCAGGGUCAGUGACCUUCUUUCCAAGUUGGAUCCUCAAUGGGAGGGUGAGAACGGAGGGGCUGCUUUAUGGAAAUCUGCUGUGGCCCCCCGGGGAGCAGUGACUGUGCCGUCAUCACCCCCUCCCUCCCCGUCAGCACCCCACCUUCACGCCCUGCCCGGACACAGUUCUCCUACAGAAAAGUAGGAUAAUAAGGCCAUAAUGUUGUUUUCCAGAGGUAAGUGAAAACACCUUAAAUGUGUUACUGGUAUUUGGGGGAAAGGGAGAUUAGGCUGUGGGUGGUGCCCGGGAAGGGUGGUGGGUACGCUAAUUGAACCUCGGGAUUAAACUCUCCGGGCCCUAACGCUGCCUGCCCCCUGGCAGAAACAUCACAGAGGUCUCAGAAGCGGCUUUGAGGCUUUUCCGGGGCUCGGAGAUGAUCCUUUGGAGCCCAGGUACGAUGAUACCUGAGUUUGUCCCGGCCUCACAGUAAUGGGGCCACUGGGAGUCUUUCUUCUACAGAAGAGAAAGGUGGGGCUGGCAGGCAGCAGGGGCGAGGCGGGUGCAGCAGGCAGCCGGGCAGCCGCAGGAGGCUCUGGCCGGCGCUGGGCGAGCCAGGUCUGAACCUCAGAGAGGGCUGCUCGCAAAUGAGCUCAGCCCUGGCGUGGUGCCUUCACCCGACAGCCGCUGGCUGUUAGGGGCAUUUUGAAGUCAGACAAAUAUAUCUCCCAGCGGCCUGGAACGGAGCGGGAAGAGGCACAGAGAGUGGGAUGACAAAGCACAGGGUCGAAAGCUGCUCCUGCUGGUUUUGGCAAAAGGGAGGGUGGGGAGAGGUAGGGAAGAGCCCACCCUGAGCUUUACAGGUGCUGUCGGGGAGCACAGCCUUCCUGCACCGCUGUUCGCCCGGACAGGGAGCUCAGGGUUGGAAGGGACCUUGGUACCAGCCGGUGCAAGGAUGCUGCUGCCGGGGCCAGUGCAAGACGGUGGAAUCCAGCGCAUCACAUCUCUGCUGCAACUCCUUCACACACCCCAUCUUUCCCAGGCGCCGAAGGAAUUUAUCCUCCUCAUGCAGCCCUUCAGACAGAUGAAGGCAGUGUCUGAAACCUCCCCCUACUCUCCCCCUCCCCCGGACCUUCCAUCUUCUUCGUGAUGACCGCCAUGUCAUAGUGACUGUCACGUGGCACCAUGACUGGUGAGCUCCUGGGGAAGGAAUGUGGUUUGCCUUGUGUUUAUGAGGGAAGCAUCUCAUCCUGGAAGUCCAGCUUCCCUCUGGCUCUGAACUUUAGGCAAGUUUCUCCCCAUCUUUGAACCUUAGUCACCCAGCUGUCAAAUGAGGGGAUGGACUGGGUGACCCUCAAGUGCCCCUUGCACCUCCCAUGCCCAGUGGCCCUCUACCCUGGCCACGCUACCAGAAACCGGACACUGGGCUGAUGGGUUCGACUCCCUGUGGCUCCCCCGAUGCCUCUGGGGUUGGUGUUGAAGCGAGUUAAAAUGAUUAGAGGGGCUCAGAGCACACGGGAUAGGAGACAGGAAGUUAACACCCCGGGAACCAAAGGCUCUGGAGACAGAGUUGGAUCUGUAUUGGUUUCCUGUGGUUGCUUGAACAAAUGACCACAAACGUAUUGGCUUAAAGCAACACAAAUUUAUUAUCUUACGAUUCUGGAGGGUUGGAAGUCUGAAAUAGGUCUCACUGGCCUAAAAUCAAGGUGUUGGCAAGGCUGCGUUCCUUCUAGAAGCUCUGAGGGAGAAUCCGCCGUUCGCUUGCCUUUCCAGCUUCUAGAGGCUUCUGCAUUCCUUGGCUUGGAACUGCUUCCCUCAUCUUCAGAUCCAGCAAGUAGCAGCUCCCAGUCCCUUCCUGACCCUGAGGAUCACCCUUGAGCCUUGCUUUUCCACUUUAAAGGACCCUUGUGAUUGCAUUGGGUCCACCCGCCCAAUCCAGGAUAAUGUCCUUAUUUUAAGGUGAGCUGAUGAGCGAUCUUAAUGCCGUCUUAACAGCCUCUUGCUGUAUCACACCUGUAUCCACAGAUUCUGGGGGACUAGGACAUGUGCAUCUUUGAGAUGCCAUUCUUUUACCUUCCAUGAGAUCCACAUCCCAGCUCUUAAAAAAGCCAAGAGGGCUUCCCUGGUGGUGCAGUGGUUGAGAGUCCGCCUGCCGAUGCAGGGGACGCGGGUUCGUGCCCCGGUCCAGGAAGAUCCCACAUGCCGCGGAGCGGCUGGGCCCGUGAUCCAUGGCCGCUGAGCCUGCGCGUCCGGAGCCUGUGCUCCGCAACGGGAGAGGCCACAACAGUGAGAGGCCCGCGUACCGCAAAAAAAAAAAAAAAAGCC